CUCCAGACUCCUACGGGAGGCAGCAGUGGGGAAUAUUGGGCAAUGGACGCAAGUCUGACCCAGCAACGCCGCGUGAAGGAAGAAGGCUUUCGGGUUGUAAACUUCUUUUAAGGGGGAAGAGCAGAAGACGGUACCCCUUGAAUAAGCCACGGCUAACUACGUGCCAGCAGCCGCGGUAAUACGUAGGUGGCGAGCGUUGUCCGGAAUUACUGGGUGUAAAGGGAGCGUAGGCGGGAGAGCAAGUCGACUGUGAAAUCUAUGGGCUUAACCCAUAGCUGCGAUCGAAACUGUUCAUCUUGAGUGAAGUAGAGGCAGGCGGAAUUCCUAGUGUAGCGGUGAAAUGCGUAGAUAUUAGGAGGAACACCAGUGGCGAAGGCGGCCUGCUGGACGAUGACUGACGUUGAGGCUCGAAAGCGUGGGGAGCAAACAGGAUUAGAUACCCUAGUA
rnacentral:rRNA from 1 species